rnacentral:rRNA from 1 species
UAGAGUUUGAUCCUGGCUCAGAUUGAACGCUGGCGGCAGGCUUAACACAUGCAAGUCGAACGAUGACUCUCUAGCUUGCUAGAGAUGAUUAGUGGCGGACGGGUGAGUAACAUUUAGGAAUCUGCCUAGUAGUGGGGGAUAGCUCGGGGAAACUCGAAUUAAUACCGCAUACGACCUACGGGUGAAAGGGGGCGCAAGCUCUUGCUAUUAGAUGAGCCUAAAUCAGAUUAGCUAGUUGGUGGGGUAAAGGCCCACCAAGGCGACGAUCUGUAACUGGUCUGAGAGGAUGAUCAGUCACACCGGAACUGAGACACGGUCCGGACUCCUACGGGAGGCAGCAGUGGGGAAUAUUGGACAAUGGGGGCAACCCUGAUCCAGCCAUGCCGCGUGUGUGAAGAAGGCCUUUUGGUUGUAAAGCACUUUAAGCAGGGAGGAGAGGCUAAUGGUUAAUACCCAUUAGAUUAGACGUUACCUGCAGAAUAAGCACCGGCUAACUCUGUGCCAGCAGCCGCGGUAAUACAGAGGGUGCGAGCGUUAAUCGGAAUUACUGGGCGUAAGGCGAGUGUAGGUGGCUCAUUAAGUCACAUGUGAAAUCCCCAGGCUUAACCUGGGAACCGCAUGUGAUACUGGUGGUGCUAGAAUAUGUGAGAGGGAAGUAGAAUUCCAGGUGUAGCGGUGAAAUGGUAGAGAUCUGGAGGAAUACCGAUGGCGAAGGCAGCUUCCUGGCAUAAUAUGA